GACGAACGCUGGCGGCGUGCUUAACACAUGCAAGUCGAACGAAGUGGCGAACGGGUGAGUAACGCGUAAUCAACCUGCCCUUCAGAGGGGGACAACAGUUGGAAACGACUGCUAAUACCGCAUACUGAAGGAGGGGAUUGCGUUUGCUUGGCUAGUUGGAGGGGUAACGGCCCACCAAGGGGAUGAUCAGUAGCCGGGUGGAGAGGAUGAACGGCCACAUUGGGACUGAGGCACGGCCCAGACUCCUACGGGAGGCAGCAGUUGGGAAUCUUCCGCAAUGGAGGAAAGUCUGACGGAGCAACGCCGCGGGGGUGAUGACGGCCUUCGGGUUGUAAAGCUCUGUUAAUCGGGACGCGGUACCGGAAUAGAAAGCCACGGCUAACUACGUGCCAGCCGCCGCGGUAAUUC
rnacentral:rRNA from 1 species